GGGCUGUUAUCUCACUGUUCAGUGCUGUAAGAGUUUGUCUUCAGCUCUACAAUCCUCAAACUGUGUCCUGAGAGAGCUGGACCUGAGUAACAAUGACCUGCAGGAUUCAGGAGUGAAGCUUCUCUCUGAUGGACUGAAGAGUCAACACUGUAAACUGGAGACACUGAGAUUGGCCAUGUGUAAUCUCAGUGCUCAGUCCUGUGAGAGUUUGUCUUCAGCUCUACAAUCCUCAAACUGUGUCCUGAGAGAGCUGGACCUGAGUAACAAUGACCUGCAGGAUUCAGGAGUGAAGCUUCUCUCUGAUGGACUGAAGAGUCAACACUGUAAACUGGAGAGACUGAGAUUGGUCAUGUGUAAUCCCACUGUUCAG